rnacentral:misc_RNA from 1 species
AAAAGUCGUAACAAGGUUUCCGUAGGUGAACCUGCGGAAGGAUCAUUAUCGAAAGAACAGGGGACUGUGCUGGCUCUCUAGCGGAGCAUGUGCACGUCUCUUCCUUCACACACACACUUGUGCACCCACUGUAGGUCCUCGCGAGAGGUCCUAUGUCUUCUACACACCUAGACGUAUGGCCAUAGAAUGUGAACUUGAUACAACUUUCAGCGAUGGAUCUCUUGGCUCUCG